UGGCUUAGUGGUUAGAGCAUUCAGCUCAUGACUGUAAAGUUCUGAGUUCAAUUCCUAG
rnacentral:tRNA from 1 species